GUCUACGGCCACACCACCCUGAACACGCCCGAUCUCGUCUGAUCUCGGGAGCUAAGCAGGGUUGAGCCUGGUUAGUACUUGGAUGGGAGACCACCUGGGAAUACCAAGUGCUGUAGGCU
ensembl:rRNA 5S_rRNA 5S ribosomal RNA